CCUACGGGAGGCAGCAGUAGGGAAUCUUCCGCAAUGGACGAAAGUCUGACGGAGCAACGCCGCGUGAACGAUGAAGGCCUUCGGGUCGUAAAGUUCUGUUGUUAGGGAAGAACAAGUGCUAGUUGAAUAAGCUGGCACCUUGACGGUACCUAACCAGAAAGCCACGGCUAACUACGUGCCAGCAGCCGCGGUAAUACGUAGGUGGCAAGCGUUGUCCGGAAUUAUUGGGCGUAAAGCGCGCGCAGGCGGUUUCUUAAGUCUGAUGUGAAAGCCCCCGGCUCAACCGGGGAGGGUCAUUGGAAACUGGGAAACUUGAGUGCAGAAGAGGAAAGUGGAAUUCCAAGUGUAGCGGUGAAAUGCGUAGAGAUUUGGAGGAACACCAGUGGCGAAGGCGACUUUCUGGUCUGUAACUGACGCUGAGGCGCGAAAGCGUGGGGAGCAAACAGGAUUAGAUACCCUGGUAGUCCACGCUGUAAACGAUGAGUGCUAAGUGUUAGAGGGUUUCCGCCCUUUAGUGCUGAAGUUAACGCAUUAAGCACUCCGCCUGGGGAGUACGGUCGCAAGACUGAAGCUCAAAGGAUUGACGG
rnacentral:rRNA from 1 species